CAGGUCCCAGGGCUCUGCGCCUCGGGGCUGCGGCUCCCCGCCCGUCCCGCCGUUCUCUUCUCCCCCACCCUCUGCUGUCCUCCACGCCGUCUCGAAUCUUUUUUCCGGGUUAAUUACGUUUCGCAUUAAAGCAAAACCCAGCCCCGGAUGCACCACCGUGUCUCACGGAAUCCUGAGUGUGCUGAUUCAGCUAGUCUAAAUAAGAAGCUUGCCCAGGAAUCCCUCAUCUCUGCUCCCAAGUGGUGGUUCAUUAUUAGGCCACGGUGUCUACCCAGCUCUUCUGAGGGUCCUGGAGAUCCAAACUCCAGUCCUCAUGCUUAGGCAGCAAAUGCUUGCCUUCACUGAGCCCAUUCUCUAAUGCAUGCUUAUUUUAUUUUAUUUUUGCAGAAAUGCAUGUGUGUAUCUAGUUAUCAAAAGGACAAUAGUUAAGUUUUAAUAAAAGUUGGGACUGGA